rnacentral:rRNA from 1 species
GAGGUAGACCUAUUAGCUAGUUGGUUGUGUAAAGGACUACCAAGGCUAUAAUGGGUAACGGAGAUUUAGUGAUCGAAACCGGAGAUGGAAGCUGAGAAACGGUUCCAAUGUCCAAGGAUAGCAGCAGGCGCGAAAAUUGCACACUCUUUAAUGGGGAUGCAGUUWUGAGGUAUGACAGAAAGGGUUAUCAAUAAAUAAGAUGACGUAAAGCUAUUAGAGGGAAAGUUUGGUGCCAGCAGCCGCGGUAAUACCAACUCUAAGAGUCUCUAUGCGAGUUGCUGCAGUUAAAAAGUCCGUAGUCUUUACGUAAUUAAAAAUGAAUGAUCAAGUUUCAUAUUUUUACGUUUAUAUAUGAGACGGAUUGGGAGCAUAGUAUAACUGGGUUAAGAAUGAAAUCUCACUACCCUAGUUGGACUAUCAGAAGCGAAAGCGAUGCUCUAAUACGUACUUUUAGAUAAAGGACGAAGGCUAGAGUAGCGAAAGGGAUUAGAUACCCCUGUAGUUCUAGCAGUAAACUAUGCCGACAGAAUGUUAGAUAUAUUUCUAGUGUUCAAGGGAAACCUUAAGUGAUCGGGCUCUGGGGAGAGUAUGCUCGCAAGUGUGAAAAUUAAACGAAAUUGACGGAGUUACACCACAAGGAGUGGAUUGUGCGGCUUAAUUUGACUCAACGCGAGGAAUUUUACCAGGGCUGAAUAUAUUUGAGAUUGAUUACAUGAAAUAUAUUUGAGUGGUGCAUGGUCGUUGUAAACUCAUGGAUUGAUCUUAAGUUCAACUGCUAAAAUGGGUGAGACUUUCAUAAACAGCUAUCUAACAGGUAGAGGAAGGGGAAGGCGAUAACAGAUCCGUGAUGCCCUCAGAUGUCCUGGGCUGCACGCGCAAUACAUUAUGUA